rnacentral:misc_RNA from 1 species
UAACCGUAGGUGAACCUGCGGUUGGAUCAUUAAUAAAUCGGUGUUAACCACCGUUAAACAUCUUGUGAACUUGUAUUUGUUCUUGGUGGUCGGCUUCUGGCUCUAAGCCAUGUCAUCACGACAUGGGCCACCAGUUGGCUAGUCGGUUUUCCGGCUAGCCUUGAACCAACCUAUGCUUUUCUAUUAUGGUCUUAACGUUCCUGUCUAUGGCAGGAUUGUAUCCAAAUUGAAAACAACUUUUGGCAACGGAUCUCUUGGCUCUCGCAUCGAUGAAGAACGCAGC